UGGUGUACUAGCAAAACCAUUAACAGAUUUAUUUAACCAAUCAUUAUUAACAGGAGUAGUCCCAGAAGAUUGGAAGUUAGCGAAUGUUGUGCCCAUUCACAAGAAAGGUAGUAGGGAAGAGUCGGGCAACUAUAGGCCAGUAAGCCUUACUUCAGUAGUGGAGAAAGUAAUGGAAACCAUGUUAAAGGAUAGGAUUGUUGAACAUCUAAAAUCACAUGGAUUUCAGGAUUUCAAGAUCAGAGACAACAUGGGUUUACUUCAGGGAGAUCAUGCCAAACUAAUCUUAUAGAUUUUUUUUGAUUGGGUAACUAAAAUAAUAGAUCAUGGUGGUGCAGUAGACAUUGCUUACCUAGAUUUCAGUAAGGCUUUUGACACUGUUGCACAUAGAAGGCUUAUCAAUAAACUGCAAUCUUUAAGUUUGGAUUCUAAUAUUGUUGAAUGGGUAAGGCAGUGGCUGAGUGACAGGCAACAGAUGGUUGUAGUCAAUGGAGUAUAUUCGAAGCAUGGGCUUGUCACCAGUGGGGUACCCCAGGGAUUUCUACUUGGACCCAUUCUCUUAAAUAUUUUUCUUAGUGAAAUUGCAGAAGGUCUGUCUGGUAAGGUAUGUCUUUUUGCUGAUGAUACUAAGAUAUGUAACAGGGUUGAUGUUCCAGGAGGGAUAAGCCAAAUGGCAAAUGAUUUAGGUAAACUAGAAAAAUGGUCAAAGUUGUGGCAACUGACAUUUAAUGUGGAUAAGUGCAAGAUAAUGCAUCUUGGACGUAAAAACCCAAGGGCAGAGUACAGAAUAUUUGAUAGAGUCCUAACCUCAACAUCUGAGGAAAGGGAUUUAGG